UACAGAGGUCCCAAGCGUUGUUCGGAUUCAUUGGGCGUAAAGGGUGCGUAGGUGGCGUCGUAAGUCGGGUGUGAAAUCUCGGGGCUUAACUCCGAAACUGCAUUCGAUACUGCGGUGCUUGAGGACUGGAGAGGAGACUGGAAUUUACGGUGUAGCAGUGAAAUGCGUAGAGAUCGUAAGGAAGACCAGUGGCGAAGGCGGGUCUCUGGACAGUUCCUGACACUGGAGGCACGAAGGCCAGGGGAGC
rnacentral:rRNA from 1 species